GGGAGGGAGAGAAGGGGGAGUGGGGAAGUUGAUGGGUUUGAAAACAGCAAAAAACUAAAUGAUCAUAGUCUAAAUCAUUUGCUUUUGAUUAAACUAGGUAAACAGCAGUAAUCAUAAUGCCACCUCCUAAGAGUUGCUUGCCUCAACUCUAAAUUAAAUAUGGUAAUAUUUUACACAGUUAUUUUAAGGAUAAACCUAGAAGUUUCAAUUUCAAGAACAUUAAUUUUCUUGGAUGCUGUAAGAAGCUACAAGGACCAGGCAGGGAUUCAGUUCUUCCACCAGUGGAAGCUUCUUCAGAGAACUCAAUCACCACAAGCUUUGUCUUUAAACUCUGAACAACCUUCAGUUUGCUAAAACUCAAUGUCCUUAUGUUAAACAAUAUGAAAAGAUGUUUCAAAUCUCAGUACCAGUGAUAUAAGAGAGUAAGUUUUACAGUUUAAAUUUCAAUUAGGUUAAACUUCCCUACAGAAAUUAAAGCAAACCAGAAGAAACCAUUAAGAUAAUAAGCAAAAAUCUUUACCCUAUUUAGAGCCACUGGAGGAACAGUUCCUUAAAAAGGGAAAGAAUUUCUUACUGAAACUGCUGCUUCAACUGAAAUACAAUACACCAAGAACUCUGCGAUCUUAAUGAUUAAAUAUCAGGCUAUAUACCACAAAGGAGGAAAUUCUACAUCCUAAGUUCUUUCUCUCAUACCAUUUGGACAUUAAGCAGGAUGCAAAAACAAAUGCUGAUCUUAAAAAUGUAACAUUUUUAGUAUACUUGGGACUUCCCUGGUGUCGCAGUGGUUAAGAAUCCGCCUGCCAAUGCAAGGGACACGGGUUCGAUCCACGGUCUGGGAAGAUCCCACAUACCGCGGAACAACUAAGCCCGCAAGUCACAACUACUGAGCCCAUGUGCCACAACUACUGAAGCCCGCGCACUGCAGCAAAGAGCCCCUGCUCGCCACAACUAGAGAAAGCCUGAGCACAGCAACAAAGACCCAGCGCAGCCAAAAAUAAGUAAAUAAAAUUAAAAAACAAAACAGUAUACUUGACCCUUAG